AGUCAGGUGGCUCAGACCAAGCAGGGCUUUCCUUCUCCCAGUGGACUGUGAAGGGUGCACUGCCAGUCUCUUCUGUUCACCAGGGCUUCUUCUGACAUCCAGGUGAGAGAACUGGAGAAGCGUGCCUCAGGCGGGGCUUUUGAGCUGAUUCUCAGACCUCAGUCAAAAGAAUCCAUUCCAGAAUUCCCUCUUUCCUCUCCAAUGAAGAAGGGUCUUUUCCUGGAAGAAAUUCAGAAGAAAUCUGCAGCUGCAGAAGAAAGACGCAAGUCCCAUGAAGCCGAGGUCUUGAAGCAGCUUGCUGAGAAACAAGAGCAUGAGAAAGAAGUGUUUCAGAAAGCAAUACAGGAAAACAACAACUUCAGUAAAAUGGCAGAGGAGAAACUGAUCCACAAAAUGGAAGCCAACAACCGAGAGGCACAAAUGGCUACCAAACUGGAGCAUUUGCGAGAGAAGAAUAAGCACACUGAAGACAUGAGGAAGAACCAAGAAUCCAAAGAUGCUGCUGAGAAGACUGAAGCUGACUACGGUGUUCUGAGAACUGACUUUCUUCCCUUCCCCUUCCUAAAUGUCCAAAGACUGUACUAGCCAGUGUCAUUUUAUUUUUUGGCCUCCUGACAAAUAUUCUAGAAGUGGAUGUAGAACUGGAGAGGCAGAUCCAGACUAAGAU